AGUUGGUCCGAGGGUCAUGGGUUAUUAUUAAGCUGAUUAACAUUGUUUCCCCCCCAUAACUAAGUUUGUCUAGCUUAAA
ensembl:Y_RNA Y_RNA Y RNA